rnacentral:rRNA from 1 species
AUUGAACGCUGGCGGCAGGCUUAACACAUGCAAGUCGAGCGGGGUGAUGGUGCUUGCACUAUCACUUAGCGGCGGACGGGUGAGUAAUGCUUAGGAAUCUGCCUAUUAGUGGGGGACAACAUCUCGAAUGGGAUGCUAAUACCGCAUACGCCCUACGGGAGAAAGCAGGGGAUCACUUGUGACCUUGCGCUAAUAGAUGAGCCUAAGUCGGAUUAGCUAGUUGGUGGGGUAAAGGCCUACCAAGGCGAUGAUCUGUAGCGGGUCUGAGAGGAUGAUCCGCCACACUGGGACUGAGACACGGCCCAGACUCCUACGGGAGGCAGCAGUGGGGAAUAUUGGACAAUGGGGGGAACCCUGAUCCAGCCAUGCCGCGUGUGUGAAGAAGGCCUUAUGGUUGUAAAGCACUUUAAGCGAGGAGGAGGCUCUUUUGGUUAAUACCCAAGAUGAGUGGACGUUACUCGCAGAAUAAGCACCGGCUAACUCUGUGCCAGCCGCCGCGGUAA